UACAGAGGUCUCAAGCGUUGUUCGGAUUCAUUGGGCGUAAAGGGUGCGUAGGUGGCGCGGUAAGUCGGGUGUGAAAUUUCGGAGCUUAACUCCGAAACUGCAUUCGAUACUGCCGUGCUUGAGGACUGGAGAGGAGACUGGAAUUUACGGUGUAGCAGUGAAAUGCGUAGAGAUCGUAAGGAAGACCAGUGGCGAAGGCGGGUCUCUGGACAGUUCCUGACACUGGGGCACGAAGGCCAGGGGAGCAAACGGG
rnacentral:rRNA from 1 species